GAACUCUUAGCUCAGUGGUAGAGCCACCGGCUCAUAACCGGUUGGUCGAUGGUUCAAAUCCAUCAGGGUUCACCA
rnacentral:tRNA from 1 species